rnacentral:rRNA from 1 species
GUUUCCGUAGGUGAACCUGCAGAUGGAUCAUCGCCGAAACCUUAUGGGUAAUGCUUUGAUCACGAGAGAUCGGUACCAAUGGAAUCAGGCUUGUUCUUGAUUUCAAUCGGUUUCUCACCCCAUCUAAGCUCAUGGAGAGGUGUCUAGUCCCAAUUGGAGUCGCUUUGAGUGACGGCUAUGAAAAUUGGGUAUGUUCCCCGUGAGGGUCGAGCAUAGACUUUAUGAACAGUGCUGGAGCUGUCGCCUCACCAAAAAAUCAUCGAUAACUGGUGGCUAUGUGUGACAUUAGUCACAUAGGUAUCUGCUGAUGCAGAGAGCCUUAAUGAGUUGUUCGUGUCAUCUGACCUACAACCGCCAGUAUCGGUAAAUCAACCCAAUUAACUUGUUUCCUGUGUCGUGUUAAUACAUACUGGCAAAGUGUAUUAGCUUUAGCGAUGGAUCGGUUGAUUCGCGUAUCGAUGAAAAACGCAGCAAGCUGCGUUAUUUACCACGAAUUGCAGACGCUUAGAGUGGUGAAGUUUUGAACGCACAGCGCCGUUGGGUUUUCCCUUCGGCACGUCUGGCUCAGGGUUGUUUAAUAAGCGAAAGUGUUGAAAGUUCAUUAAACGAGAGUUCGGUGAUACUGACAACACUACGUCGAGCGGUGUACUGUUGAAAGUACCCCGUUCAAGUAUCUUUAUGGGGCAACAUGUCUUCUAUAUGGAGACAUGAAAGAUAUUAAGAGUAUAUACCUGUGGAUGCCCACGUAUGAAAUAUGACGUGUCGUAUACACGGCUAGGAGGUAUGUCUCAGAUGAAUUUGUUUAUGCAACCUGAGCUCAGUCGUGAUUACCCGCUGAACUUAAGCAUAU